rnacentral:tRNA from 1 species
GGUUGUAGCUCAGUGGUAGAGCACUUGUCUUGCAGGCAUGAGACACUGGGUUCAAUCCUCAGCAUCA